GAAAAAGACCAAAAAUUUCCCGUCUCGCACGCCGCCGCUCAUCCAGCACAGGGCAUCCCAACCCAAUCCGCUCGCUCAACCCGCACUAUCGCUGGUCUUCGUCGCUCCUCCCGCACACCAACGCCGGAGCGCUUCCCGUCCGCCGCCCUUCCUCCUCUCCUCCUCCUCCGGUUGCGCCCUGCGCCCGCGGCGACCAUGCCUCCACCGUGCCUGCCAUGUGCGCCGCCGCCCGGCCGAAUCCCGCCGCCACCUCAAGGCCAGCGCGGCUGCUAAACGCGCCAUGGCCGCGACUUGGCCCGUGCGUCGCCCCGCCUCACAGCACAUCAUCAUCCUGCACAGCCACCGGUCUUCGACGCUGCCGGUACAGUGUCUUCGUGGGCGCUGGCAUGCGGGCCGGGCACGGUUCCAUUGCUUCCCACACCAGGUCAUUGAGGAGCAAGCCGGCUUGGGCUGGGGGCACCCCGUUCCUCUGCUCUGUGCCUAUAGGCGCGAUUGGGACGCGGGUCGUCCCCCAUUCAGUCACCGCACCUGCCGCCUAGAAUGUCAGGUUGUCGAGCCUCUGUCCGCCGUUGCUCUCCUCUGCUGCCGUCAUCGGUGGCGAGGAGCCCGGUCCCAUUAGUACCAACGUCUUCCCUGUACUCAGACAUUCCGGUUUGGCACAUAUCUUAUCAGGUGAGCACCGCCGCAUUUACUUCACUGCUAAUGACUAAGCGUCUGAAGUUGGAGGUCAUGUAAUCCUGUUGUUCUUCGCUAACGUUUCUUUUGGUGACGCUAACCACGCAGCCCAAUCCUGAACGCCUGUGCAGCACAAUGCUCCAAAUGGCCACACUUUUGUCUUCUCCGUUGCCAAUACGACCAAUGAAUAAACGCUUCUCCUAAAAAGCAAAGCCAAUAAACCCUUCGGCUGCAGGUCAUUGAUGAUUCACACUUCACUUCCUCUCCCCAUGACCUCCACAAGAAACUGAUGGAUUCCCAUUUAAAUUGGGUGCUCCACCUUAUCUCAUUUUAUUCCCAUCGUCCUUCAUACAGGUGGCCGCCUGCCAUCCCAACUCCCUCCCCUGUCCUCCUCGACAUUCCCUAUGACACAUGGCCGAUUGAAUCAUAUUUGGGAUUCCUCGGGUACUGUGGGAAUUGGACGCUCAGACCCCAUCUUUGUUGGAACCGCAGCCCUCUAGCUACCUCUCCUCUCACUUGAAUGGAGGUGGAAGAAGAAGAACAGUGGACACAAGGUUUUCCGGCCGGCGCACGAACGUCCCAAUCCUUUUCUUCUUUACAGUGGCUACAUGGCUACACUCGGCUCCGCUCGAUCAAUACAUCAGGGGGGCCUUUUAUACCCGGCUGCACACACCAGCACACGCACCGUCCGUCACACGCGGCCACUAACAGCACUAACUAAUUAGCUCACGCAUGCACCAACUGCACGCUCACCGCACCAGCCACUACCUACAUGCACGCCUAGAUCCAUCCUCUUCCAACGGCCACAUGACCCGCCAUGCAUGUAGCUAGCCAGCCACGGCUGCGCCACUCAACGCGGCCAGUCCAACUGAUCCCUACAGCCGCUACUACACACACGACUAAACACAGAGCUACGGCCGCGCGCACGACGCAUGCAGUGGCAUGGCUUAUUUCUAACAAUCUUGGUUUCAUUCCCAUCUCCCAUUUCUCAGUUAAUCAAGCCUUUUGCUGUUCAUAGUAGUACAGUUGCAGAUCAUCUCCUCACGGAGUGACGGUGAGGGUGGAUAUGGCUUAUUGUUCUUCUUUCCAGUAACUUUGCAGGUAUAUACUGAAUUCGGCAGAAUUCUCAGUAUCCAAGCCAUGUAAUCACAUCGCCAUGUUGAUAGCUCAGGGUCACGCUGUUCGACGGGUUUGUGACGUCUACAUGGACCACGCCACCGAUCAUGACCACAUAAUCUAAUCCCUCGACCAACUGCAGUUACUGCUACCGAGAAGUGAGAACCGCCGCAGGUAUAUAUGCAACUCAACAGAGAUUUGUUAGGUUCAUGAAGCAACCUAAAAUCUUCAGUUCUGCGGUAUGAUAUAUUCAAUUUCUCGACAACUCAUUUGAUUAUCAUGUUCUUGGUACCAACCAAACAACAUCCUCUCAAUGCUAAUGUUCACUAACUCAACUGCCAAACGAAGAAUCCUCAUCCAAAUUGAACCUUUAUCCGUAUCCGUCAGUUUUUUAUCCCCUUCUUGGUUCCUUGCAGGUUGAGGUACUAUUUUGAAACAAAUGGCAUUUAAAGAUCCAUCUUUAAGGAGCAAUCUUUGAACCCUUAAAUCUCAGGGGGUACUCAACAUUCUGGAAGACAUUUUACUACCAUUCAUUUUUACUACUAUUUUCUUAGUUACAUGUAUAAAACUGAGUAAAUAGCUAAUUGGGGUUUGAACGAAGAAUCAUAUUUUAUUUCAUAUAUUUUUUCAUGUUACUUUGUUCUACUUUAUUAUGCCUUAUGCUGCUGAUAGUCACUAUUUCUUUGUCGCAUGCCUGAACUUAUUAAACACACAUAGUCUCUGUUUCUUUGUCACAAUCAUGGCCACACAUGUGUGCUCUUUAGAAAAUUUCUACUGCAUUCUAACUUCACUUUAGGUAAACUUAUCUGUACAAAUUUCUGCACCAAUGUUUUGGUAUUGUAAUAUUAAUCUUGUCUUUUGUACGACAAUAAACUACGUCGAUUCUACCCUCUAAUAUCAUUUAUUUUGCGAUAGAUCACUAUGAUUUAUUUCUAUACCAAGGGCUACUAUACUGAAUGAUUUAGUUCCUGAUGUUAAUCCUUUUUAUAUGGCCUUUUGACUAUUUCAGAAGCAAUCGGUGCCAGAACUAUUCCAACUUUUGGGCCAUAUUGCUAUCUUCACUCACAUUCCACGUUGUGUUUUCUAACAUCUUAUAUUAGCAAAUGUAAUUAUCAUUUUUAAAUCAUCAUGGCGGUGUGUUCAUGACCUGUUAAUGGUGAUGUAGGUCAUAGCGUCGGGUAUGCUCAAAAUUGCUUUCUUUCCAAUAAAUAAUUAAGGCACUACAUUGCAGUUCAUGAUUGCUAACACCAUUGUUAAUGCUACAACGUUCCACAAUACAUUAUAUAUGUAUACCACAAAUGACCACAUUUGAUUCCAUGUAUGUGAAAUCCAUCAUAUAAUUGAUUCGAGUUGUUAUCAUCUUUGUGAUGUGGAUGUUGCUUGGAAAAAUUACAACAAAGUCCCGCGGCAACAUAUAUAAUGUAAGACGUUUUUUGACACUAUACUAGAGUUAAAAAACGUCUUACAUUAUGGGACCGAGGGAGUAGUUUUUUUCAUAAUGUCACUCCCUCCCUGAGGCAAAUUGUACUGAACUUAUGUUUUUUCCAUGGCCUUUUUGCUGUUCUGAAUCUUCUGUUGUUGAAUCUGAAUCUUAGUAGGAGUAACAUUAUUUUCCUGCCGUCAUUUUCAGUAUUUUAUUUGCAUCUAUCGUUUCAAUGUCCUUUUCUCAUCUUUUUCUAGGAUAUUUUCUUUGUUUUCUUUCAGAAAAGUUAUGUUUACAUAAAAAAUAAAAUCAACGGUUUUUUGAUUCCUUUGUUCACAAACCAUGGAAGGUAACAUGGAGUGGCUGCUUACAUGGGGUAUGGCCGUAUGGAAGGUAACAUGGAGUAUUGUUCACAAACCAUACUUCGAAUCUUCGAUGGUUUCAGUGUGUUUGUUUUCUGUUGCUGCAUUUUACUGCUUCGGCUACCCAGCUCAAAACAGAGAACUAGUAUGGGUAGGGGUGCAACACGGUGCCCGAUCCGCCCCGCCCCGCCCAAUAUUCAAACUUGGAGAAUCUAGUUCUAGUUAAGUUGCAGUGGGUUAGUUUAAUUUGUACUGGACUAUGCGGGACGCCGCGCUGUGGGGAGGGGGUGGUCGUGGUGUUGGAAGUUUAAUUUCCAGGGAAACCCGGCUCGUUAGCAUAGCGGUGGUGCGGGACAAAUCCGGGGUUGAGCGGGCUAGCAAAAGAAAAUUCGAUUGAGGCCACCAAAAUAAUCAGUCGAAGUUUUUCUUUUGCAAACUGAACACAAAACAAAGUUGCACACGCGUCAUUGAAGUAUUGGUCCAAAACUUUGACUGAGAAUUUAUACAUAUUUUUGGGAUUUCUACAUAUGAAAAAAAAAUUCAAAAAAGAAAAACCCGUGCCGGCAGCAUGACAGAGACGAGGAGUAGCCAUGACAUAGCAGAUGAGACACGAGGAUCAAACUGGUGGCUGAGGAAUCCAGAAUGGUUGAGAGGUUGGGAGCGGGAGUGUCAAGAAGUAACGGUGAUGAAGACAGUACACUAAGGUCCUGUUCGGAGACCCGCCACUCCACCACUCCGCUCCCGGAGUUGGAGUCAAAAGGCACGGAGCUGGGAAAGAGAUGCUCCAGCUCCUCGUAUUUUUAGGAGUUGGAGUGACUCCAAACAGGGCCUAAGCAUCGUGUUUAUAUAUAGAAAGUGAAGGGCUUGCUUGAGUAUCUAAGCUAAUUUAGAUCUUUCCUGUUUUGUGCAACGUCCAAAACGUGGGGUCGUGCUUAAAUUUCUCACCUUUACGCGCAAACAUUAGAAGGGGAAAAUGCCGGGUUUAGAGGACUGCAAGGCAGACAUUCUUCUUCCUCCUUUCUCUCUCCUCUCUUCCCCACGUAGAGAGAGAGAGGGAAAGAGAGGAAGGCCGCCCCCUCUUUCCUACCAAGAACCACAUUUCGCCCUCCAAUCUUCGCUGCAGAUUCUAGCACACCUUUUGAUCGGUUUUUCUCCAGUCUCAGUUUGGGCAAUUUGGAGCUUCCUGGGCAAGUUUCCGCGCUGGUAUCCGUCUCGAAUCUACCCCUGGAAAAAAAAUCUAAACAUUCUUGUGCCAAUCUGAAAAGUUCUUGAAAUAAAUUACUUGAGUUUUGAAAGAAAUUUUGGAUGUGGAUAAUUAUGCGCAACAAGUAUGCUUACAUUUCUACUACAAAAAGAAACCUUGACUCUUGAUUGUGAAUUAUAUUUGUGCAACCUUUUGCAAGAUAAAAUGCUUAUUUUUUGUUUCACUAUAACAUUUAGAAUUUUUGUGCUGACAUUUCCAUCUUUUCUAUGUAAAAAUCAGAUAUUUGUCUUCCUUCUGAAACAAAGGUUGCAUCUUUCUUGCAUUGGCACUCCCAAUCCUGCAUCUUUCAACAAGUUGUGUCAUUUGGGUGCCUUGGUGUUGCCGAGACGUACUGUAGGUUUUCUCAAGCUAAAUGUUGCAUAUGAAUUUUGAUGAACAUUGAUCACCAAUGGCUGUGAAAACUGGUGUGAGGUCUCAAGACUUCUCGCAGCGGUUCUGGUACACCUUGUCUCGUGCGAUCUGUGAGCUCUGCGUGAUCAUAUUGCUCCAUGUGGCUGCUACAACGUCAUAUGUGGCCACAAGGUUGGCACACAUCAGCAGGCUAAGGGCGCCAUGCACCAUGUGCUCAAGACUGGACCAAGCCCUCCAUGGAAAGGCAUGGUUCUCCGCUGAUUUGGUGUGUGCUGCCCAUAGGUCCGAGAUAUCAUCUUUGGCAUACUGCAAGAGUCACAACAAUCUUGCACAUUCAGCUGAUCUCUGCAAGAGAUGCCAUGCUGCAUGCACCCUGGCAGGCUUUGUCGAUGAGGUUAAUUCUCGGUCUGGAUCGAGGUCUAGACAGUUAUGUUCUUGUUGUUUGGAGCCAUUCAAGAAGGCGUGCAUCGCACAUAAGCUUUAUGAAACUGCAGAUGUUAAGGGCCCCUCACAUAAUGUGCAUGGUUUGGACGAAAUCAAGCAGAGGAGCCAAGUUGUUGUGAUAGAAAAAAUCAAUCCUGCCAUGCCACCCAAGUUUGUACCUGAACAGGUCUCUACAGAUCAUUCAAAAGUUAAAGUGGGUAUUGAGGAAGUCAGGGAGUCAGAUGCUUCACCAGGCACAUAUGAACAAUCUACAAAGGAUAAUGGUGCUUCUUCAAAUGCUGGUUUGGCAGCAAAGCCUGCACCCAAUGCGUCUUCCCUGCCUUCGCGCAUUUUCGUCGAUCGCAACAACAGUAUUAAGAACACUUUCGUUGGUAGGGUCAAUCUGCCAUCUCCUCGCCCAUCAGAGAUAAUCUCUGCCCGGGAUAACAAUUCUACUACUCAACAAGAAGUGAAGGCACUCCUUACUCAGAUGUCCUCUGUAAGGGGCCUUGACUAUUCUUGGACUGAAGGAGUAAGUAGUACUGAUACCAUGAUUCAGAAUGAUGAAAGCAAUGGUACCAGCAGGAGGCCAUACCUCGAGAGAAAUUACUCUGUGUUGGAAUCAUCGGAUGCAAACCUUGGUAUUUGUGAAGCUGAAGGAGAGAUCUCACUGGAGAGUUUGAAGCGGCAGAUUGAGAUUAACAAGAAGUCAAUGCUUGUCCUUUACAAGGAGCUUGAGGAAGAAAGGAGCGCUUCGGCGAUUGCAGCUAGCCAAGCCAUGGCCAUGAUCAACAGAUUGCAUGAGGAAAAGGCUGCAAUGCAGAUGGAAGCACUACAAUAUCUUAGGAUGAUGGAAGAGCAGGCUGACCAUGACCAUGAAGCGAUACAGAAUCUACACGACUUGCUUACAGAGAGGGAGAAAGAAUUACUUGACAUGGAUGCCGAACUAGAUAGUUGUCGAAGGCUACUCCAGCAUGACCAGUUUAAUGGGGGGAAUUUUGAUGAUACAGUGGACAAUACACCCGGAUAUGACAAGAAUGUGUCAUUUGAUGUCUUGAAUGCAUCGGAUUUCAUGACGAGCACCAUGUCAGGUUUCGAAGAAGAAAAGGCAUACAUUUUGGAAUCACUGGGCAGAUUGGAGGAAAAGCUUCGCAUUUCUACAUACAAGCUUGCUUCUGAUGAUGCCAAAAACAUUCAAGAGACAUUGCUUGGAGAUCAUAUAGGGGAUGAAUCAACUUCUUUUCAGCAAUCAAUUGAGCAGAAGGACAAGGAUGAGUGUUCAUGUUCUCCUUUCGACAACGAAAAAAUAAGUGGCCUAAACAAUCUUCAGGAUGAAAUUUCACUCUUGGAUACACGAUUGAGGGCCCUUGAAGAUGAUCAUGAGUUUCUCAAGCGGGUACUCAGUUCCCUCAAAGGCGAUGGGCUUCAGUGUGUACGAGACAUAAUGAGCCAUUUACAUGAGUUGCGAAGAGUUGCAGCUCAAUGAAGAGAACAUGUUUUGUCUUGAGUUGAGAAGUCUACCAACUCUUCUCAGUUCCAUAGUUGAAACAUUUACACACUCUGAUCUUGCCUUUUCCAGCAGUGCCUCUCGUGUGGAGAUUUACAGCCUGACAACGACAAUGCUUCCAGUUAGUCCCCGAUGUGGCGUUGAUUAUAAAUUGCAGUGCUGGGAACAUCCAAGCUUGUGUAAGAUCAUCCGUUAUUCUAUGAUUCUAAUCUGGCUAACUCUGGAAGGGAGCGCCCACUGACCAAACAUAUCCAUCUCUUGUUUUUACCUCGUUGCUAUUCUUUUUGUUGCCACUACAGCAAAUCACUGAUAUAGAAAAGAGAAAGAAAAACAUCUCUUGUAUUUUGAUCAUCUGAUGGGUGCUCAAAUUAGGAGCAAGCUUGUAAGUGUACAUGUGAUGAAAUGCUUGGGGUUCUUGCCAAAAAAUAUAUUUUAACUAGCAACAUGAUAUUGAUGUUGAUGCCAAAC
rnacentral:rRNA from 1 species